rnacentral:rRNA from 1 species
AUUGAACGCUGGCGGCAGGCCUAACACAUGCAAGUCGAGCGGAAGGGGCUUCGGCCCCGAGAGCGGCGGACGGGUGAGGAUAGCGUGGGAAUCUGCCUGUAGAUGGGGGAUAGCCCGGAGAAAUCCGGAUUAAUACCGCAUAAUACCUGAGGGUUAAAGUGGAGGAUCGCAAGACUUCACGUCUACAGAUGAGCCCACGUCAGAUUAGCUAGUUGGUAGGGUAAAGGCCUACCAAGGCGACGAUCUGUAGCUGGCCUGAGAGGGUGGCCAGCCCCACUGGAACUGAGACACGGUCCAGACUCCUACGGGGGGCAGCAGUGGGGAAUAUUGGACAAUGGGCGCAAGCCUGAUCCAGCCAUGCCGCGUGUGUGAAGAAGGCCUUCGGGUUGUAAAGCACUUUAAGUUGGGAGGAAGGUUCCAAGGCUAAUACCUUUGGGAAUUGACGUUACCGACAGAAUAAGCACCGGCUAAUUCCGUGCCAGCAGCCGCCGUAA